UAAUGGCAGGUCAGCAUACUGCCGUGAAUACGUUCCCGGGCCCUUGUACACACCGCCCGUCACACCAUGAGAGUUGGGAAUACCCGAAGCCUGUGAGCUAACUUUACGAGGCAGCAGUCGAAGGUAGAAUCAAUGAUUGGGGUGAAGUCGUAACAAGGUACC
rnacentral:rRNA from 1 species